GGAUGGGGGAGGUUAUUAUGGGAUGUGAGGCGUUAUUGUGGGGUUAUUAUGGGGGUAUUAUGGGAUGGGGGGGUCAUUGUGGGGUUAUUAUGGGAUGUGAGGGGUUAUUAUGGGGUUAUUAUGGGAUGUGAGGGGUUAUUAUGGGGUUAUUGUGGGAUGGGUGGGGUUAUUAUGGGAUGGGGGGGUUAUUAUGGGGGUAUUAUGGGAUGGGGUUAUUGCGGGGGUAUUAUGGGAUGGGGGGGGUUAUUGCGGGGGUAUUAUGGGAUGUGGGGGUUUUUGGGGGGGUUAUUAUGGGAUGGGGGAGGUUAUUAUGGGAUGUGAGGCGUUAUUGUGGGGUUAUUAUCGGGGUAUUAUGGGAUGGGGGGGGUCAUUGUGGGGUUAUUAUGGGAUGUGAGGGGUUAUUAUGGGAUGGGGGGGUUAUUAUGGGGUUAUUGUGGGAUGUGUGGG
ensembl:lncRNA